UGGCCUUGACAUAGUUAGAACUUAAUAGAGAUAUAAAGGUGCUAGUUUACUAGAGCUAAUAUAC
rnacentral:rRNA from 1 species